rnacentral:rRNA from 1 species
AACGAACGCUGGCGGCAUGCCUAACACAUGCAAGUCGAACGAAGGCUUCGGCCUUAGUGGCGCACGGGUGCGUAACGCGUGGGAAUCUGCCCUUUGGUUCGGAAUAACAGCUGGAAACGGCUGCUAAUACCGGAUGAUGACGAAAGUCCAAAGAUUUAUCGCCAGAGGAUGAGCCCGCGUUGGAUUAGGUAGUUGGUGGGGUAAAGGCCUGCCAAGCCGACGAUCCAUAGCUGGUCUGAGAGGAUGAUCAGCCACACUGGGACUGAGACACGGCCCAGACUCCUACGGGAGGCAGCAGUGGGGAAUAUUGGACAAGGGGCGCAAGCCUGAUCCAGCAAUGCCGCGUGAGUGAUGAAGGCCCUAGGGUUGUAAAGCUCUUUUACCCGGGAAGAGAAUGACUGUACCGGGAGAAUAAGCCCCGGCUAACUCCGUG